CCAGGGCUGAGGAACAAACAGGUACCUCCCCCUGGGCUGAGGAACAAACAGGUACCUCCCUCAGGGCUGAGGAACAAACAGGUACCUGUCCCUGGGCUGAGAAUGAACAGGUACCUCCCCCGGGGCUGAGGAGUGAGCAGGUACCUCCCCUGGGGCUGAGGAACAAACAGGUACCUCCCUCAGGGCUGAGGAGUGAACAGGUACCUCCCUCAGGGCUGAGGAACAAACAGGUACCUCCCCCAGGGCUGCCACCCAUCAUGGGAAGCUCUGGAUGUUGGUGGGAGGCUCUGGAUGUCCGUGGGAGGCUCUGGAUGUCCGUGUGCUCACGUGUCCGUGUGGCUGCGACGUGGCCGGGAAAGGGGGUGGGUGGUUUUCAGAGUUUAUUUAAUAAAGUCCCUUCCUCCCAUCCCUUUUACUGAUGUUGUACAGAGAAAAAAAAAAAAAAAACCCUCAGUGGGCAAAUGAACCGGGCUGCGCUUGAGUUUUUGGCUGUUUAAUGCUGUUCACUGAAACAUAAUUAUGGAGAUAAAUUUCAGUGCUGCUCGCCCGGGAAUCAGAGGGAACCUUAAACUGGGACACACUUCCCUGGGACACGGUUGGAUGGCAGAGCGUGGGGGUUGGAUGGUUUCCUGUCUAGUUGUGUGUUUGCAGGGCCAGGGGAGGACUGAGCUGUUCCCUCAGGCCUCCAGCUGAGCUCUGGGCUCCCAAACCCAGCCCUUGCCUGGUCCUGGCUCUUCCCACGGGCAUGGCUGGGCCCGCAGGACUGGGAUGCUGCUGGUGCUGGGAGGAGUUGUCUGAGCUCAAACCUCGGUGUGUAGGAGAAACAUCUCUCUCCUGAACUGGAACUGCUUCCUCUGCACAGGCUUUGUCUCUGGGGAGUCCUUUUGGUGCCUUAAUUGAUUGCACCUUGACAC